GGCUGCGGUGCCACAACCGGACCCGAGCUCAGGACGCCCCUGAGAUGGACCUUUGGUCGCGAGGUAUGCUGUUUCUCUGAAAAACAUCGGCCUUGUGGAACCUCUGAAGGGGAUCUUCUCUGAUCAAGCUAUGGUGAACAAUGUUUCGGAAAGGCAAGAAACGACAUAGUAGCAGCAGUUCCCAAAGCAGUGAAAUCAGUACUAAGAGCAAGGUAGGGGAAGGCCCC